rnacentral:rRNA from 1 species
AUGGACCCCUCGCCGGCCCAGGCGGCCGCGGCGGAGCGCGACCGCUCGCCGCCGCCGCCCCCUCCUCCGCCCCCGUCCUCCUCCGCGUCGCCUCUCGCCGUCGUCUGCAGCUUCUGGAAAGACUUUGAUUUGGAGAAAGAAAGAAGUGGUUUGGAUGAGCAGGGUUUAAAGAUUGCGGAGAAUCAAGAGACGAGCCAGAAGAACCGACGUAGACUUGCUGAGAAUACUCGGGACUUCAAGAAGGCAUCUCCAGAUGACAAGCUUAGUUUGUUCAACUCAUUGCUUAAGAGUUACCAGGAGGAAGUUGACAAUCUCACAAAGAGAGCAAAGUUUGGAGAAAAUGCAUUUCUCAACAUCUAUCAGAAGCUCUAUGAAGCCCCUGAUCCAUAUCCAGCUCUUGCUUCUAUGGCUGAUCAAGACCAGAAACUAUCUGAACUGGAGACUGAAAACCGGAAGAUGAAACUUGAGCUUGAAGAAUACCGGGCGGAAUCUGCGCACCUAAAGAACCAACAGGCGACGAUUAGGCGACUUGAGGAGCGAAACCGCCAACUAGAACAACAGAUGGAAGAAAAAGUUAGAGAGAUGGUUGAAAUGAAACAGCGAAGCUUGGCAGAAGAUAGUCAGAAAACUCUCGAAGCCCUGAAAGAUAGGGAACGGGCGUUGCAGGACCAACUAAGGCAAGCUACAGAAAGUGUCAAGAAUAUGCAGAAGUUACAUGAAUCGGCACAAAGCCAAUUGUUUGAGCUUCGUACUCAAUCAGAGGAGGACCGGACAGCAAAGGAAGCUGAAGUGAGCCUUCUGAUGGAUGAAGUUGAACGCGCUCAAUCACGAUUAGUUAGCCUUGAGAGAGAAAAGGGGGAUUUACGGUCUCAGUUGCAGACAACAAAUGAAGACACAAGUAAUAAUAGUGAUUACAUGGACCCAAGUGAUAUACUUGAGAGUUCUUUGAAUGCCAAGGAGAAGAUUAUAUCAGAGUUGAAUGCAGAACUGCGUAACAUUGAAAGUACUUUAUCAAGUGAGAAAGAAAUGCAUGUGAAUGAAGUAAAGAAGUUGACUGCUUUACUCAGUGAGAAGGAAACUGCGAUAACGGAGUUGAAGAAAGAACUUCAAGAAAGACCUACGACUAGACUAGUUGAUGAUCUCAAGAAAAAGGUUCAGAUUUUGCAGGCUGUUGGGUACAACUCAAUUGAAGCUGAAGACUGGGAGCUAGCAACUAAUGGUGAAGAAAUGAGCAAACUGGAAGCUUUGCUUCUUGAUAAGAACCGCAAAAUGGAGCAUGAACUUACACAGUUGAAGGUUAAAAUAUCAGAGAAGUCAAGUCUUCUUGAGGAAGCUGAGAAAAAGAUCGCUGAACUAACUUCAAAGGUUGAAGAGCAGCAAAAAUUGAUUCUGAAACUUGAGGAUGACAUAUUAAAGGGCUGCAGUUCAACUGAUAGGAGGAGUUCUCUUUUGAAUGAUUGGGAUCUUCAAGAAAUAGGCUCAAAUGAAGUAUCGGAGGGUACUGAUCCAAGGAAUUCAUCACCAGACCAAGAUCAAAGUUCCAUGCUCAAGGUCAUCUGCAAUCAGAGGGACCGUUUCCGUACACGACUACGUGAAACCGAAGAGGAACUGAGGAGAUUAAAAGAGAAGUAUGAAAUGCUAGCUGUAGAAUUGGAAAAAACAAAAGCUGAUAAUGUUCAAUUGUACGGAAAGAUUCGAUACGUCCAGGACUACAGUCAUGAGAAGAUUGUUUCUAGAGGACCAAAGAAGUACGCAGAAGAUAUUGAAAGUGGUUCUUCAGACGUUGAAACAAAGUACAAGAAAAUGUACGAGGAUGACAUAAAUCCUUUUGCAGCUUUCUCGAGGAAGGAAAAGGAUCAAAGAUACAAGGAACUUGGUAUAAGAGAUAAGAUCACUCUCAGUAGUGGCCGUUUUCUCCUCGGUAACAAAUUUGCCCGGACAUUUAUAUUCUUCUACACUAUUGGAUUGCAUCUCCUUGUGUUCACGCUGCUGUACAGAAUGUCAGCUUUGAGCUAUCUGAGCAUAACACCUGCACAUGAUGAGAUCAUCCUGGACGCUGGCAAUCAGACACUAUCGCAUAUGCCCUGA